GCGCCAUAUUAGUUAGUUGGUAGGGUAAUGGCCUACCAAGACGAUGAUGUGUAGCUGGACUGAGAGGUUGAACAGCCACAUUGGGACUGAGACACGGCCCAAACUCCUACGGGAGGCAGCAGUAGGGAAUUUUCGGCAAUGGAGGAAACUCUGACCGAGCAACGCCGCGUGAAUGACGAAGUACUUCGGUAUGUAAAGUUCUUUUAUCAAGGAAGAAAAGCAAAUGGCGAACCAUUUGUUUGCCGGUACUUGAUGAAUAAGCCCCGGCUAAUUAUGUGCCAGCAGCCGCGGUAAGACAUAAGGGGCAAGUGUUAUCCGGAAUUAUUGGGCGUAAAGGGUGCGUAGGCGGUCUAGUAAGUCAGUGGUGUAAUGGCAACGCUUAACGUUGUCCGGCUAUUGAAACUGCUAAACUUGAGUUAGAUAGAGGCGAGUGGAAUUCCAUGUGUAGCGGUAAAAUGCGUAAAUAUAUGGAGGAACACCAGAGGCGUAGGCGGCUCGCUGGGUCUUAACUGACGCUGAGGCACGAAAGCGUGGGGAGCAAACAGGAUUAGAUACCCUGGUAGUCCACGCCGUAAACGAUGAGUACUAAGUGUCGGGUUAAACCGGUACUGAAGUUAACACAUUAAGUACUCCGCCUGAGUAGUACGUACGCAAGUAUGAAACUUAAAGGAAUUGACGGGACUCCGCACAAGCGGUGGAUCAUGUUGUUUAAUUCGAAGAUACCCGAAAAACCUUACCAGGUCUUGACAUGUUUUUGCAAAAUGAUAGUAAUAUCGUGGAGGUUACCAGAAACACAGGUGGUGCAUGGUUGUCGUCAGCUCGUGUCGUGAGAUGUUAGGUUAAGUCCUAAAACGAGCGAAACCCUUAUCGUUAGUUGCCAGCACGUUAUGGUGGGGACUUUAACGAGACUGCCAAUGAUAAAUUGGAGGAAGGUGAGGAUCACGUCAAAUCAGCAUGCCCCUUAUGACCUGGGCUACAAACGUGAUACAAUGGCUGUUACAAAGGGUAGCUGAAACGCAAGUUCUUGGCCAAUCCCCAAAAACAGUCCCAGUCCGGAUUGAAGUCUGCAACUCGACUUCAUGAAGUUGGAAUCGCUAGUAAUCG
rnacentral:rRNA from 1 species